rnacentral:rRNA from 1 species
UACGUAGGGUGCAAGCGUUGUCCGGAAUUAUUGGGCGUAGAGAGCUCGUAGGCGGUCUGUCGCGUCGGAUGUGAAAACCCAGGGCUCAACCCUGGGCCUGCAUUCGAUACGGGCAGACUAGAGUUCGGUAGGGGAGACUGGAAUUCCUGGUGUAGCGGUGAAAUGCGCAGAUAUCAGGAGGAACACCGGUGGCGAAGGCGGGUCUCUGGGCCGAAACUGACGCUGAGGAGCGAAAGCGUGGGGAGCAAACAGG